GACGAACGCUGGCGGCGUGCUUAACACAUGCAAGUCGAACGGAAAGGCCCUGCUUUUGUGGGGUGCUCGAGUGGCGAACGGGUGAGUAACACGUGAGUAACCUGCCCUUGACUUUGGGAUAACUUCAGGAAACUGGGGCUAAUACCGGAUAGGAGCUCCUGCUGCAUGGUGGGGGUUGGAAAGUUUCGGCGGUUGGGGAUGGACUCGCGGCUUAUCAGCUUGUUGGUGGGGUAGUGGCUUACCAAGGCUUUGACGGGUAGCCGGCCUGAGAGGGUGACCGGCCAUAUUGGGACUGAGAUACGGCCCAGACACCUACGGGAGGCAGCAGUGGGGAAUAUUGCACAAUGGGCGCAAGCCUGAUGCAGCAACGCCGCGUGCGGGAUGACGGCCUUAGGGUUGUAAACCGCUUUCAGCAGGGACGAAGCUUUUUGUGACGGUACCUGCAGAAGAAGCACCGGCUAACUACGUG
rnacentral:rRNA from 1 species